GUUCCUGCGGGAUCGGUUCCAUCAUCCAAUACCUCCCACCAGACUCCACUUCCAUCAUUGGAGGUCACAUUUCAACUAAGAUUUGGAGGGGACCGUAUCCUAACUAUAUUAACUUCCAAUUUUCAUCGAAAGCCCACCUGUCUAAGAAGAGCUCCUAGACAUUCCCUUUCCCCUUCAACUUGGAGGAAUUGGGAAUGACAAAGAGAAAUUAAUCAAAAGAAGAAUUAAUCUCUCCAAUCAGCCUUGGCAUUUUCUUUCUAUCUUUGAUAUGUUGUUUUUUACAUUGGUUUUCAGAAUAAGCUGUUUGUAACUACUUCCUCCACUAUAUUCUUUGAUAGAUUGACUUUGCCUCUUUUACUGCGUGCAUAGUGCCAUCUUGUGGCCAUAAAGCAUAUAACACUCAUAGUUAUGCCACAGUGCUUCUGUUCCACCUUAUUUCUGUAGUCCAGAGGAUCUCUAAGUGUAGAAACACAUGGAUUAUUACUAGCCAAGGCCAUCACUGGCCAAGCCCAUCUAAAAGCCAGAGGCAGCAAGCAGUGCCCGUUGAAACAUCCAUAAAAGGUGAUGUUUGGUUAGCAACGUCCUACUGCAGACAUUUUGAUGUGGUGGUGAUUGGAAUAUGGUCUGCAGAGAUCAACCAGAAUUAGCUCCAUGUGCCACUGGGAGUGGGAACUGAAGUCACGCAGGAAUAAACCAGUCUUCAUGCUUUAGGAUGUUCUGAUGUGCCAUUGUCGUGAAAUCUUCAUUCAUGAGACAUUCCAGUUUACCGGCAGUGUCGACUAGAAUAUGCUACAGCCCCCAAAAUAUGUUUUUAGUAUAAGGAUUAUUUUGAGCUGAUUAUUUUGAGAAAUAGCAGACGCAGGAGAAACUCUGAAGACAGAACGUUAUAUAUCCUCUGCCUCUCCUACGGAGCUCAUCCCUACCAAGCCUGCUCCUGCAGAGGGAUGCAACUUUCCGACCCACUGACAUCUGUCUUGGUCAUAUGACUUGCUUUGGUCAAUGAAAUGUGGUGUAAAAAGGUGGAGGCUUUGAGAGCCAUUGCCUGGUUCUGCCUUGUUCUUUUCUUUGGGUCACAAGGACGGCAGCUUCCCAGGUACAAUCUGCUCUCUCAGUGUGCAUCUUGAUAUGAAGACAUCAUGAAGGAAAGCAGAGCUGAGCUGACUGGCAAAAACAUAACUGUGGAUAGAACCCAAAGAGAAAACAAAGCCCAAACAGUCACAGCUCCUUUAUUCUAUGCGACCAAUGGCAUUUCAACCUCCCUCUACAGUUUGAUACCUUCUUCUAUAGCUACAGAAUUCUUAACUUUGUUUUGACCUGGAUCCAUGGCCACCCAAAAUAAAGACUAUAUUUCUAAGCCUCUGAUGCCGCUAGGUAUAGCCACCUGACUAAACUGUGGUCAAUGUGAAUGAAGCAGAAAUGGUGUACACAAGUUCCGGGAAGUGUGCUUAAAGAGGGUUCUUCACUUUUCUCCCAUCUGCUGGUUAGAAUGUGGGGACGGCAGCUAGGUAGCUAGAACUAGGACAUGAGGACAGUGUGGGAAUGGAACUCAACCAUGGAAGAAAAACAAGGAAGAGGGAACUGGGGACCAUGCUGCGGAUGAAUCAUCAUGUUGAUCUUGGAAUGACCAUUUUAGGAUUAAGCCACUGUUAUUCUGAGUUCUCUGCCACCUGAUGCUAAAUCCUAUCCUAUUAGAAAUGGUGCUCAUAACAUGGUGGUGAGAGGUCCAGGGUGAAGAUGCAACAGAGAGACAAAGGGAUAUGGCUAUGAUGUAGUUGGGAAAUGGGGUUUUGCAACAUUUUACAAGUGUCAUGGGGGUUGUGGGCUUACCUCUGCAAACCCUAUGUAUUGAGGGAAAUGGAAAUGAAGCAGUUCCUGGUUAUGAAAACUGCCCAUUUAAUGUUGGGACAAAAGACUAAGAUUCCUACACACUCUUGCUCUUCCUGAACCUUGCUCUACAUUCUCUACAACAUGGGAAGUGUCAAAACAGAGUAAAACUAUCUCAAUUCUGCCCCGGCAACAAACACAAAAUAUGCUGUCAUUUGAACUCUUUGCUUAACAAAGGCACAUGAGUGAAAUCCAUAGUGAUCACUUUACUCACUCAACCAAACAUGUAAGAAACACUUCCCUAGGCCCCUUUAAAACCCAAGAAGAAGACAAGUCAUAUUGACAUCUGAUCCACUGACCUUGU